UACGGGGGGAGCAAGCGUUGUCCGGAUUUACUGGGCGUAAAGAGCGCGCAGGCGGUCGAUCAAGUCGAGUGUGAAAGCCCCCGGCUCAACUGGGGAGGGUCAUUCGAUACUGAUCGACUCGAAGGCAGGAGAGGGUAGUGGAAUUCCCGGUGUAGUGGUGAAAUGCGUAGAUAUCGGGAGGAACACCAGUGGCGAAGGCGACUACCUGGCCUGUUCUUGACGCUGAGGCGCGAAAGCUAGGGGAGCAAACGGG
rnacentral:rRNA from 1 species